UUAAAUUGAAGAGUUUGAUCAUGGCUCAGAUUGAACGCUGGCGGCAGGCCUAACACAUGCAAGUCGAACGGUAACAGGAAGAAGCUUGCUUCUUUGCUGACGAGUGGCGGACGGGUGAGUAAU
rnacentral:rRNA from 3 species